rnacentral:lncRNA from 1 species
GUGAACAAAGCUGGGCAUCAGGCCCUUCAUCAGAAAUGUGACCCCUUAUUAAAGCAUUGUUUUUUGUUUUUACAGAAAGUCAGAUGGCUUUGUGUUGUUUGACGUGGUUCCUUUUCCAAAUAGAUGACUGUAAAGAUGACCUGAUGAUCCUAUGGACUGGGCUAUAAACUUUGUGCAUCUCCCUUCUUGUGCCUUAAUGGCAAGGUGAGGAUAUGAGGAACAAAGCUGCCCUGAAUAUCCCUGUACAUGUCUUCAGUGGAUGAUGUAUUUUCUUUUGGGUUCUGAUACAGCAGAGAGAGCGUCAGACUUGGAUUACCAUGGUAUGUUUCUUUAGUUCCCCAACACACUCAUUUGUUGAGGGAGUGAGUGAAUAAAUGAAUGAAUGAUUAUGAUGAUAAUCUGAUGAUAAUAUAAAAUAUCUGGGCAACAAUUGAGGAGAUAGAGGAGGUUUUAGGAUGUGAGGUUCAUCCUUGGGAGAAUGCAUAGUGAGAAGGCAGAUUUGCUAAUGAUUUGGGACACCAGUGAGGAAAAAUGGUGUGUCUGUGCAGGAGGACGAAUGGUUAAAUGAAGAAAUGCAGGGAGGGAGGAAGAAGCUGAGCAGGAAAUAGUUGUGGAGUGUUGGAAAGAGGAAAUAACUGGGAAGUGACCUGACAGAAAAUUGGGCAUGUAUUUCCUUUGCUACAGUUUUUAUUUCUCUGAUUUAAGCAUUGUCACAUUGGCUCUUUUUGUUGUUGUUGUUUUUAAGUCUGAUUUACAAUAUUCUUUUUACCUGUAGGAUGCCACGUCUAUCUGUUUACAUGGACAAAGUUAUACACCCAAAACGGGCAAAGACACAGUAGCAGUUUAGCCUUUGUUUUGUCUUCCUUUCCUAGGACAAAUGCCCCCUCCCUUUAAAACAGUUUCUUUCACACUGUCUUAUUUCUUUGGUCAAAAAUCUACUGUUUUUUGUUUGUUUGUUUG